UACGUAGGUGGCAAGCGUUGUCCGGAAUUAUUGGGCGUAAAGCGCGCGCAGGCGGCCUCUUAAGUCUGAUGUGAAAGCCCCCGGCUCAACCGGGGAGGGCCAUUGGAAACUGGGAGGCUUGAGUAUAGGAGAGAAGAGUGGAAUUCCACGUGUAGCGGUGAAAUGCGUAGAGAGUGUGGAGGAACACCAGUGGCGAAGGCGACUCUUUGGCCUAUAAACUGACGCUGAGGCGCGAAAGCGUGGGGAGCAAACAGG
rnacentral:rRNA from 1 species